rnacentral:rRNA from 1 species
GACUACAGGGGUAUCUAAUCCCGUUCUCUCCCCUGGCUUUCGCAUCUCAGCGUCAGGAAUGGUCCAGAGAGCCGCUUUCGCCACUGGUGUUCCUCCAGAUAUCUACGCAUUUCACCGCUACACCUGGAAUUCCGCUCUCCUCUACCACCCUCCAGCCGACUAGUUUCGAAUGACCUCUCCCCGUUAAGCCAGGCGCUUUCCCAUCCGACUUGAUCGCCCUCCUCCAUUCGCUUUCCGCCCAGUAAAUCCGGAUAACGCUUGGCCCCUACGUAUUACUACGGCCGCCGCCCCCUAGUUAGC